rnacentral:rRNA from 1 species
UACGGAGGGUGCGAGCGUUAAUCGGAAUUACUGGGCGUAAAGCGUGCGUAGGCGGUUUGAUAAGUCGGGUGUGAAAGCCCCGGGCUUAACCUGGGAAUUGCAUUCGAUACUGUCUGACUCGAGUCUGGGAGAGGGAAGCGGAAUUCCGGGUGUAGCGGUGAAAUGUGUAGAUAUCCGGAGGAACAUCAGUGGCGAAGGCGGCUUCCUGGCCUAAGACUGACGCUGAGGUACGAAAGCGUGGGGAGCAAACAGG